rnacentral:rRNA from 1 species
AGAGAGUGAAGGGGGGAGGACUUGACUUGUUGCUGGCCCCUUCUGCCUUCUCUUUCUUCUUCUCGCACACACACCUCACCUGUGCACACGCUUGUAGGCCCUCCAUCCCUGGAUGGGAGGAUCUAUGUCUCUUUCUUGACACCGAAUCAUCAUGUCCAUAGAAUGUGUAUCAUGAUUUUAAAAUCACAACUUUCAGCAAUGGAUCUCUUGGCUCUCGCAUCGAUGAAGAACGCAGCGAAUCGCGAUAAGUAAUGUGAAUUGCAGAUUUUCAGUGAAUCAUCGAAUCUUUGAACGCACCUUGCGCUCCUUGGUAUUCCGAGGAGCAUGCCUGUUUGAGUGUCAUUGAAUUCUCAACCAUGCCUUUGAACCUCUUGAUCUGAGGCAUGGCUUUUUGGAGUUGGGAGUUGCUGGCUUUUUUCUUGGCAGUCAGCUCUCCUGAAAUUCAUUAGUGAAUGAAAGAAGCAAGUCCUGAUGAACGACGGCCCUUUUUCGACGUGAUAACGAUCGUCGUGGGGCUGGAAUUUGUUGGGGCGAGCGAGGCUAGACUUUUGGACUUUCUAGGCCAAGCUUUAGUUGCUAGUCGGUCGUGAGGCUGGCGAAACGACCCAAGCAUCAAAUUGGCCAUUUUCUGAAAGAUCGCAGGUCUAUUUUUGAUCUCUGACCUCAAAUCAGGUAG